CCUCCUUAAGGAUCAGGCGUCUCAAGUUUCGUACCUUGGGAACCACAAGACGAUCCCCAAAGAACACAAUGCCUUGGUCAUUAAUUGUGAAACAUCCUGCACUCCUCUUAUUGAUGUUCCUUCUGAUACGGGAAACCCCAGGAUCAACCUUUUCAGCCUCAAUGACCUGAUCCCUAAGAGUAGGUUUCGCCACCAAGGUGGAAAGGACACCUUGAGAA
rnacentral:lncRNA from 1 species